rnacentral:rRNA from 1 species
UACGUAGGGUGCAAGCGUUGUCCGGAAUUAUUGGGCGUAAAGAGCUCGUAGGCGGUUUGUUGCGUCGGCUGUGAAAUCCCGAGGCUCAACCUCGGGUCUGCAGUCGAUACGAGCAAACUAGAGUGUUGCAGGGGAGACUGGAAUUCCUGGUGUAGCGGUGAAAUGCGCAGAUAUCGGGAGGAACACCGGUGGCGAAGGCGGGUCUCUGGGCAACAACUGACGCUGAGGAGCGAAAGCGUGGGGAGCGAACAGG